rnacentral:rRNA from 1 species
GCAGUAGCCGCGGUAAAACGAAGGGUGCAAGCGUUAAUCGGAAUUACUGGGCGUAAAGGGUGCGUAGGCGGUGAGUUAAGUCUGUUGUGAAAUCCCCGGGCUCAACCUGGGAAUGGCAAUGGAUACUGGCUCGCUAGAGUGUGAUAGAGGAUGGUGGAAUUCCCGGUGUAGCGGUGAAAUGCGUAGAGAUCGGGAGGAACAUCAGUGGCGAAGGCGGCCAUCUGGAUCAACACUGACGCUGAAGCACGAAAGCGUGGGGAGCAAACAGGAUUAGAUACCCCGGUAGUCCCUGUCUCUUAUAA